CCGGCGCACGGGUGAGUAACGCGUAUGCGACCUGCCCGUUGCAGGGGGAUAAUCGGGAGAAAUCCCGUCUAAUACCGCGUAACGCCGCGGGGCUGCAUGGCCCUGCGGCCAAAGGGAGCGAUUCCGGCAACGGAUGGGCAUGCGUGACAUUAGCUAGUUGGCGGGGCAACGGCCCACCAAGGCGACGAUGUCUAGGGGUUCUGAGAGGAAGGUCCCCCACACUGGUACUGAGACACGGACCAGACUCCUACGGAAGGCAGCAG
rnacentral:rRNA from 1 species